CAAGACGUGUUCUUUAUUAUAUAUAUUUAUUGGAAAUCCCAUUUGUAUCUUUCACCUUACAUAACAGUGGCGACGAGGUAGAAUUCUUUUUUUUCAACUCCCGUGCAUUUCACGACCGUCGGCAAGAAAAGUGCUUUUGGCGUGAAUUUUUCGGCUACAAUAAAAAAGGCGUCAUUAUAUCACCACUCCUUGUUCCGAUCAACUGUGGCAUUUCGGAGCGCCGCGACGAGAGCAAUCAUUAUUGUUUACGCUUUGUGAGUUUGAGCUAUAGAGAAAAUACAUCAUCGCUUAGUUGCAUUCUGAGUUACUCAGGCUCAGCUGCAUUUUAGACGUUUGAUAGGAGUGCAUCGGUGAUACGUCCGCUGAAGUGCAUUUUGUUGUGGUUGCUGCUGCUGGUGUUUUAGCUUUGGAGCUGUUGGUUCGUGAUACUUGGCUGAAUCGUGCGUUGGGACAAAGGAGUAUCGUUGCAAUUGGUGUGUGGAAAGCUGUUGUUGUUUGCUGUUGGGUGCCGCUGCCGUGUCGAGUGCAUAUCGAUUUUGGACGGAUAUUUGGGCUUUGAGUGCCGGCUCUGCUUGACUCGCUUUUGCUUUGCGGCUUGGCUGCCGGUGUUUUUGUGGCGCACCUUAGCGUUGUUCAUUGCCGGGAGAACAGAUUUCGUUAGGCGGUCGAGUGAUUUCGGCGCAUAAGCGCCAACUUAAGAUUGCUGAAGACUCUCGCCGCCGCGUUUCUCGUCGUUUUGUGUUGAGGGGAGAGAGUCCGACACAGCCUUUGGAUGAGCCAAAAACCAGUAUUGAACCACAGCCAAGCAACAGCAACCGCAAGAGACCUAUUGAAGAUGUAUCUGAGGAUUCUGAUUCAGAUUUUACGGCUUCGCUGCCGACUCCUUUUAUUCGAGGAGAAUGUACCGUGGGACAUCCCUCAAUCGGAAAACGUCGAAUCGAGCUCUGAGCUUCAGGUGCGAGAAGGGUCCGUUCCACAAAGGAAUGAUCGAAUAGCCCAGGAAGGAGUGCAGCAUAGACGUAGCCAGAGGAAUCCAAAGAAAAGGAGAAGACACGAUUUCGUAUAUUAUUAAAUUAAGACAGUAUGAAUUGUUUUUAAAUGAAUUUUAUUUGUUCGUGUAUGAACUUUCGAAUUAUUGUAAACUGCUCUGAAUAUUUUAGUUUUGUAUCCAUAACAAUUUCGUGAACUUUAGUAGUUUAUUAUAUUUUGUUUUGAUGAUAGUUUGAUCUAAACGGGGAAGAAGUUGUAGUGGCAAGAUCCUUUCGGUGAAACAGAAAGACCCCGCUGGUAGGGUUCUCACUUCUGAUUGAGUGCCAAAUGAGAUUGAUAUACCUGUACUGAGGACUAGUAUAAUAAAUAUGAGUUAGUUCGCUAGAGACUACAAGCCAGACAAGACGUGUUCUUUA